AGAGUUUGAUCCUGGCUCAGGACGAACGCUUGCGGCGCGCUUAACACAUGCAAGUCGAGCGAUCGGCCAGGGGCUUGCCCCUGGUACGGAGCGGCGAACGGGUGAGUAACACGUGGGUGACCUGCCCUCGGUUCUGGGAUAACUUCGGGAAACCGGUGCUAAUACCAGAUGGCCUCCGCAGCUUUCGGGCAGCGGAGAAAAGGUAGCUUCGGCCUCCGACCGAGGAUGGGCCCGCGGCGGAUUAGCUUGUUGGUGAGGUAAAGGCUCACCAAGGCGACGAUCCGUAGCUGGUGUGAGAGCAUGACCAGCCACACUGGGACUGAGACACGGCCCAGACUCCUACGGGAGGCAGCAGUGGGGAAUCUUGCGCAAUGGGCGAAAGCCUGACGCAGCGACGCCGCGUGCGGGAAGAAGGCCUUCGGGUUGUAAACCGCUUUCAGGAGGGACGAAGCCCCUCGGGUGAAUAGCCCAGAGGGUGACGGUACCUCCAGAAGAAGCCCCGGCUAACUACGUGCCAGCUGCCGCGGUAAUACGUAGGGGGCAAGCGUUGUCCGGAUUUAUUGGGCGUAAAGCGCGUGUAGGCGGCCAGGUAGGUCUGGUGUGAAAACUCGAGGCUCAACCUCGAGAGGUCAUCGGAAACCAUUUGGCUAGAGUCCGGAAGAGGAGAGUGGAAUUCCCGGUGUAGCGGUGAAAUGCGCAGAUAUCGGGAAGAACACCUAUGGCGAAGGCAGCUCUCUGGGACGGUACUGACUCUGAGACGCGAAAGCGUGGGGAGCGAACAGGAUUAGAUACCCUGGUAGUCCACGCCGUAAACGAUGGGUGCUAGGUGUGGGUGGUGUCGACUCCAUCCGUGCCGCACUAACGCAUUAACACCCCGCCUGGGGA
rnacentral:rRNA from 1 species